rnacentral:rRNA from 1 species
GACGAACGCUGGCGGCGUGCCUAAUACAUGCAAGUUGAGCGCUGAAGGUUGGUACUUGUACCAACUGGAUGAGCAGCGAACGGGUGAGUAACGCGUGGGGAAUCUGCCUUUGAGCGGGGGACAACAUUUGGAAACGAAUGCUAAUACCGCAUAAAAACUUUAAACACAAGUUUUAAGUUUGAAAGAUGCAAUUGCAUCACUCAAAGAUGAUCCCGCGUUGUAUUAGCUAGUUGGUGAGGUAAAGGCUCACCAAGGCGAUGAUACAUAGCCGACCUGAGAGGGUGAUCGGCCAACUUGGGACUGAGACACGGCCCAAACUCCUACGGGAGGCAGCAGUAGGGAAUCUUCGGCAAUGGACGAAAGUCUGACCGAGCAACGCCGCGUGAGUGAAGAAGGUUUUCGGAUCGUAAAACUCUGUUGGUAGAGAAGAACGUUGGUGAGAGUGGAAAGCUCAUCAAGUGACGGUAACUACCCAGAAAGGGACGGCUAACUACGUG